AAAAGGCACCUCUGAUAUAUCACCCUCGCUUUUCUCCUAGGAGGAUGACGAGCUUGCUUCUCUCACUUCCAGCAACAACGUGGGAAUGCAUCUUUCUUGGUUCUGCCCCCGGCCCCUCACCUUUCUACCGGCUUCGCAUCCCCCGAACUUUUCCACUUCCCAUGGCGGGAGCCUCAGAACUGGGCAACUCAGCUUGUAAACUAAGGAACAGUCCUCCCUGCUCCAUAUACCCAGGGGAUGCUUGCCAGCUGCACAUGACAGCCAACCUUGGGGAACGUCUGAGCCUGAUGUUUUUGCAUUUAGAGAAUCAACUCUCAAAGGCUAUACCAACAUCUGGGGCUGAAAGAUCUUCAUUCUCCCAGGACCCACCCUGAAAGGAUUUCGACCAUCUGUUGUUUGAGCCCAGCGCUUGAAGUCUUCCUUUCUUUUCUCACUUUCCAUAUUUAACCAGCCAAGAUAUGUUGUUGGGUCACUUUAUAGACCCAGAAUCCACUCCGUUGCUACUGCCUGGGUUCAGGCCACCGUCUUCUGUCACCUGCAUUACUGCCAAAGCCCUGCUUCUGUCCUCUCUGCUUCCCCUCUUAGCAACCACCCUCCUCCUCCCCACACCAACAGUCUAUUCUUAACGCAGAAGCUAGAGGAGUGCUUUUUAAAAAGAGUUGAAUUACUUUUUCAAGUUACUCCUCUUUUCAAAACCUGCCAACGGCUCCUUGUUUCUCUCCAAGCAAAAGCUGAAGUUCCUCCUAUAACUCCCCUAACCUCCCACCAAGGCCCUCCAGGACCUGGUUCUGGUGCUGCUGUCGCCACACUCACCCCGCUCCACUCCGUGGCCUCCAAGCUGUCCCUCAAAUGGGCCAGGCCGUGCCACCACAAGGCCUUGGUGUGGGCUGGCCCCUCAGCCUGGGAUGCCUUCCCUGAGAUGCUCACGUGGCCGGUUUUCUCGCGUCCUCCAAGCCUGCGCUCAGAUGCGACCUCAAUUGGACCUGCCUUGACCAGCUGCAUCCCGUUCCCCAGACCGGCUUUCCGAUCUUCAUCACGCCGUCCCCUUAUUUUUCUUCUCCCAUGCACUUGUCACCUGCUAACAUGCAACUUAGGACACUAGAGUGUGUGGUGUUUGUUGUCUCCCCGCCUUAGAAUAGAAGUUGCAUGGGAGAUGGGCGUUUUCUGUUUGCUUUCCCUGCUUGUCGACUGAUACCUUCCAGCACCUAGAACAGUUUCUGGCGAAAAACAUCUACUCAGCAAGCGAGGCUGAACAGGCGGAAUCUGUCCGGAACGUCUCUCACAUGCAUACCCAACCCAUGUUGCACUUGGUUUCGCCUUCUGUAACCUG